GAUCAUGGCUCAGGAUGAACGCUAGCUACAGGCUUAACACAUGCAAGUCGAGGGGCAGCAUGGUCUUAGCUUGCUAAGACCGAUGGCGACCAGCGCACGGGUGAGUAACACGUAUCCAACCUGCCGUCUACUCUUGGACAGCCUUCUGAAAGGAAGAUUAAUACAAGAUGGCAUCAUGAGUUCGCAUGUUCACAUGAUUAAAGGUAUUCCGGUAGACGA
rnacentral:rRNA from 1 species